UACGUAGGGAGCAAGCGUUAUCCGGAAUUAUUGGGUGUAAAGGGUGCGUAGACGGGAGUCUAAGUUAGUUGUGAAAUCCCUCGGCUCAACUGAGGAACUGCAACUAAAACUGGACAUCUUGAGUGCAGGAGAGGAAAGUGGAAUUCCUAGUGUAGCGGUGAAAUACGUAGAUAUUAGGAGGAACACCAGUGGCGAAGGCGACUUUCUGGACUGUAACUGACGUUGAGGCACGAAAGUGUGGGGAGCAAACAGG
rnacentral:rRNA from 1 species